AUACGGAGGAUCCGAGCGUUAUCCGGAUUUAUUGGGUUUAAAGGGAGCGUAGGCGGACUAUUAAGUCAGCUGUGAAAGUUUGCGGCUCAACCGUAAAAUUGCAGUUGAUACUGGUCGUCUUGAGUGCAGUAGAGGUAGGCGGAAUUCGUGGUGUAGCGGUGAAAUGCUUAGAUAUCACGAAGAACUCCGAUUGCGAAGGCAGCUUACUGGACUGUAACUGACGCUGAUGCUCGAAAGUGUGGGUAUCAAACAGGAUUAGAUACCCUGGUAGUCCACACAGUAAACGAUGAAUACUCGCUGUUUGCGAUAUACGGCAAGCGGCCAAGCGAAAGCAUUAAGUAUUCCACCUGGGGAGUACGCCGGCAACGGUGAAACUCAAAUGAAUUGGCGGGG
rnacentral:rRNA from 1 species